rnacentral:rRNA from 1 species
UACGUAGGGUGCAAGCGUUAAUCGGAAUUACUGGGCGUAAAGCGUGCGCAGGCGGUUUUGUAAGUCUGAUGUGAAAUCCCCGGGCUCAACCUGGGAAUUGCAGUGGAGACUGCAAGGCUAGAAUCUGGCAGAGGGGGGUAGAAUUCCACGUGUAGCAGUGAAAUGCGUAGAGAUGUGGAGGAACACCGAUGGCGAAGGCAGCCCCCUGGGUCAAGAUUGACGCUCAUGCACGAAAGCGUGGGGAGCAAACAGG